CAGCGGCUGGACGGUUUCCUUCCUGUUACGUUCGACUAUUCCAUCACGAAGAACCCGGUAACGAUUCCCACGUCCCAGCCCUAGUUGCUAGCGGCCGACGCCGUGCACGCACGCACACACAGAUGCACUCCCACCACCUCGACGUCCCCUGACUUUAGAUUGUCUUAAAAAAAAUCUGCAGACUUUAGAAACGUACAGACUACAGAAGUUCGACCAUCAGGAUUCUGGACAUCAGGUUUGAGCAUUGUGUUUGUUCUCAUGCCGCCCAACAGGAGGAAAUAUCCAUUAGGCAGCGACAAAAGGAAAAAAAAGAAGUUAGUGAAUAAACUGAUACACUCACAGCGCGGAGGUAUUCACAAAUUUCUCAUGCCAAGUAAUAUUGAUGCGUCCACUACUUCGCCAAACCCAGAUGAUGCGUUGGCGAUUGUUGCGAUAGUGAAAGAGCAACAAACUAAUGAAAAAUUGGACUCUCUGAUCAGCAAGAAGAAAAUAUCAACUCCAACAUCGGCAAUAACAAUGUAAGUGGCUCCAAGAAUGUAGGUAACUGGUCGGAUGCCACUGAGUUAAGGUCAGUUUUGUCUGAGUUAUGUCAUGCUUCUGACACUAAUCCUAAACAAAAAAGUGAUGGAAAAAAUUUAUUUGACUC